rnacentral:rRNA from 1 species
CGAACGCUGGCGGCGUGCUUAACACAUGCAAGUCGAACGGAAAGGCCCUGCUUUUGUGGGGUGCUCGAGUGGCGAACGGGUGAGUAACACGUGAGUAACCUGCCCUUGACUUUGGGAUAACUUCAGGAAACUGGGGCUAAUACCGGAUAGGAGCUCCUGCUGCAUGGUGGGGGUUGGAAAGUUUCGGCGGUUGGGGAUGGACUCGCAGCUUAUCAGCUUGUUGGUGGGGUAGUGGCUUACCAAGGCUUUGACGGGUAGCCGGCCUGAGAGGGUGACCGGCCACAUUGGGACUGAGAUACGGCCCAGACUCCUACGGGAGGCAGCAGUGGGGAAUAUUGCACAAUGGGCGGAAGCCUGGUGCAGCAACGCCGCGUGCGGGAUGACGGCCUUCGGGUUGUAAACCGCUUUCGCCUGUGACGAAGCGUGAGUGACGGUAAUGGGUAAAGAGGCACCGGCUAACUACGU